rnacentral:rRNA from 1 species
UACGAAGGGGGCUAGCGUUGCUCGGAAUCACUGGGCGUAAGGCGCACGUAGGCGGCUUUUUAAGUCAGGGGUGAAAUCCUGGAGCUCAACUCCAGAACUGCCUUUGAUACUGAGAAGCUUGAGUCCGGGAGAGGUGAGUGGAACUGGCGAGUGUAGAGGUGAAAUUCGUAGAUAUUCGCAAGAACACCAGUGGCGAAGGCGGCUCACUGGCCCGGUCUGACG